AAAAUCCUGAGAUGUGCGAUACUCCUGUUAUUUUGAACCUACAUGAUUUAAAAGUGAUUCUCAAUCUGUAAGUAGAUGUCAAGCCACCAUUUGCAGUGGAAGACAGAAGCUUACAUGCGGAAACACACCUAGCUUUGCUAGGAGUCAAAAUACGGGAAACGGCAUUUUGGGUUAAUA
rnacentral:other from 1 species